GACAGAGGGUGCAAACGUUGCUCGGAAUCACUGGGCGUAAAGGGCGCGUAGGCGGGGAUGUAAGUCGGGCGUGAAAUCCCUAGGCUCAACCUAGGAACUGCACUCGAAACUGCGUUUCUUGAGUAUCGGAGAGGAAAGCGGAAUUCCAGGUGUAGCGGUGAAAUGCGUAGAUAUCUGGAGGAAUACCGGUGGCGAAGGCGGCAUCCUGGACCGGCAUUGACGCUGAGGAGCGAAAGCUAGGGGAGCAAACGGG
rnacentral:rRNA from 1 species